rnacentral:rRNA from 1 species
UACGGAGGGGGCGAGCGUUGCUCGGAUUUACUGGGUGUAAAGGGCACGUAGGCUGUCUAUCAAGCCCCGCCUGAAAGGCUCUGGCUCAACCAGAGCACGUGGUGGGGGACUGAUGGACUUGAGGAUGAGAGAGGCAAGCGGAAUUCCCGGUGUAAGGGUGAAAUCUGUAGAUAUCGGGAGGAACACCAGUGGCGAAAGCGGCUUGCUGGCUCAUUUCUGACGCUGAGGUGCGAAAGCUAGGGGAGCAAACAGG